rnacentral:lncRNA from 1 species
CCCGCGCUCCUCCGGGCAGAGCGCGUGUGGCGGCCGAGCACAUGGGCCCGCGGGCCGGGCGGGCUCGGGGCGGCCGGGACGAGGAGGGGCGACGACGAGCUGCGAGCAAAGAUGUGCCCCGGGACCCCCGGCACCUUCCAGUGGAUUUCCUUGCGGAAAGGAUGUUGGCGGUCCCUGUGACCUGUGGAGACACGGCCAGAUCUGCCCUCCAGCCUGAUCUUUUGGCCAGAAGGAGAUUAAAAAGAUGCCCCUCAAGAUGGCUGUGCCUGUCAGCUGCAUGGAGCUUCGUUCAAGUAUUUUCUGAGCCUGAUGGAUUUACAGUGAUCUUCAGUGGUCUGGGGAAUAACGCUGGUGGAACCAUGCACUGGAAUGACACACGCCCGGCACAUUUCAGGAUACUAAAAGUGGUUUUAAGGGAGGCUGUGGCUGAAUGCCUCAUGGAUUCUUACAGCUUGGAUGUCCAUGGGGGACGAAGGACUGCAGCUGGCUGAGAGGGUUGAGAUCUCUGUUUACUUAGAUCUCUGCCAACUUCCUUUGGGUCUCCCUAUGGAAUGUAAGACCCCGACUCUUCCUGGUGAAGCAUCUGAUGCACGUUCCAUCCGGCGCUCAGCUGGGCUUGAGAGUCUCACUCUGUGGUCCAGGCUGAAGUACAGUGGCAUGAUCCCAGGUCACUGCAACCCCCACCUCCCGGGUUCAAGUGAUCCUCCUGCCUCAGCCUCCCGAGUAGCUGGUAUUACAGGCGUGUGCCACAAAGCCUGGCUAAGUUUUGUAUUUUUAGUAGAGACGGGGUUUCACCAUGUUGGCCAGGUUGGUCUCGAACUCCUGACCUCAAGUGAUCCACUCACUUUGGCCUUUCAACGUGCUGGGAUUACAGGCGAGAGUCACCGCACCCGGACGACUCUGACAUUUUUGAAGAGUCCAGAAUCCUGUUACACCUGGGAUUUAGGCACUUUCAAUCUGAAAAAAUACAUAUCCUUUCAGCACUCUGGACGGACUUGAGAACUGUCCUUACGUGACCUAAAGCUGGAGUAUUUUGAGAUUGGAGAAUUAAGGCCAACAGAGAUUUUGAGAAACACAUUGAAGGAUCUGUUAACACUUGAUAUACCCAAUAAAAGCAGUGGUUGUGCCAGUGCUGAUCUGUCUUGAUGUGAAUGUGAACAAUGGGAACCUGAGCUGAGCAGUUAAUGCUAGGGUGACAGAAACUGGACCUCUCCCAAGACAUGUGACAGAGUAAUACAGCAGCCAACUUCUUCGCCAAAUUAAAGUUUUACAAGAUUUAACCUGUCAUCAAGACCUGGGAUUUUGGUGUAAGUCCUAAUCAUUGGGGCUAGGAAAUGUGCCUUGUCAAAUGAAUUAAUGAAUGAAUCACGCUGGACCAAAAUGAACAAAAAGUUAUUUUUUUGACUCAAUUUAGCUUAAACAUCACAUCCUGAGAUGCUGUGUUAAAUCCUGGAGUCACAAAAGACCUUUACAGAAAUCUUUACAGAUUUCUGGGAACUAUAGACACGUAUAUGAGGAUAGGUUUGGACCAUUGUAGCUGCUGUAAUAGCUGUUGUUCUGGUGAGCAGUGGGGACCCAAGUGUUAGUAGGCCCUGCAAUAAACAUGUAUGGGCCUGAGAUAAAUGGGUCAGUGUCUCUCACGAAGCUCUGUUUCGUCAAGGGAGAGUAUCCUUGGUUAUCCAGGUGGAUCCAAUCCAAUCACACGGGCCCUUAAAGGCAGAGGUUUUCUCCGACUGUGAUCAAGAAAAUGCCAUGAAAGAUUGUAAGUGUGAGAAGGAGUUGAUGUGCCACUGCUGGCUCUGAAAUGUGGGGCCCACUUGUAGGAACUGGAGGGAGAGACUGGUUGCUAACGGUGGCCCCUAGCUAACAGCCAACAGAGAAAUGGGGACCGCCGGCCUACAGCUGCAGGGAACUGAAUUCAGCAACAUGAAUAAGUUUGGAAGAGGAUCCUUCCAGAACCUCCUGAUAGGAGCCCAGUCCGCUGUCACCUUGAAUUCAGCUUCAUGAACCAGGAGCAGGGAAACCAGCUGAGCCAACCCACAUUCUGACCUAAGGAGCACUGAGGACAACCAUGUCGUGAUGAUGAUGAUGACGACGAUGACAGCGAUGGCGGUGGUGAAAGAGGAAGACAUCCCUUCAUUUCAUGUAGCAAUCUGCUUCUUGCUGGGAUUUCAAAUCCAUUUUCAUUGUUGAUCCUGAGAACAAGCCUUGGAGGCGGAAUCAUUUUGAAAUCCCAGGAAACCGGGCCUUAAGAGACGGCUGAAGACCCGAGCAGUCAUUCGGUGGAGUCUGUGAGGCCCAGAGCUGAGGAGGAGGACAUGGGUGUAGAAACGGUCGCAGCCCACACUGCUGUGCCUACAGCUCUGGAUCCUGACUGUAGCCAGUCUUGGUGCUCUGUGUUCACCUGGUUCAUCUGAGGAGCUGCAUCUACCCUGCCCAUGCCAUAGAUCCUGCCCUGUUUGCUUCUCCUGUUGCUGCUAGUGGACAUGAGAAGGACAGAAUAACGGGCUCCCAGAUUCACAAGCCCCACCAAGAGGAUCACCCCAGGAACGCUUGGAGGCUGAGGAGUUCACUGAGGCUACUGCAUCUUGAGACUCAGGAUGAAGACCCAGCUUGGGGCUGUCAAAGGUUUUUUGCAUGUCUGACACCCAUGACUCCACCUGGACCUUAUGGCUCCACCCAGAAGCAAUUCAGCCCAACAGGAGGACAGCUUCAACCCAUUACGAUUUCAUCUCUGCCCCAACCACUCAGCAGCAAGCACCUGUUACCUGUCCACCCCCACCCCUUCCCCCAAACUGCCUUUGAAAAAUCCCUAACCUAUGAGCUUUGAAUAAGAUGAGUACGAACUUCAUCGCCCACGUGGCGUGGCCGGCCUCGUGUCUAUUAAAUUCUUUUUCUACUACAA